GGCCCAGACUCCUACGGGAGGCAGCAGUGGGGAAUAUUGCACAAUGGGGGAAACCCUGAUGCAGCGACGCCGCGCGAGCGAUGAAGUAUUUCGGUAUGUAAAGCUCUAUCAGCAGGGAAGAAAAUGACGGUACCUGACUAAGAAGCCCCGGCUAACUACGUGCCAGCAGCCGCGGUAAUACGUAGGGGGCAAGCGUUAUCCGGAUUUACUGGGUGUAAAGGGAGCGUAGACGGCGGCGCAAGCCAGAUGUGAAAGCCCGGGGCUCAACCCCGGGACUGCAUUUGGAACUGUGCCGCUAGAGUGUCGGAGAGGCAGGCGGAAUUCCUAGUGUAGCGGUGAAAUGCGUAGAUAUUAGGAGGAACACCAGUGGCGAAGGCGGCCUGCUGGACGAUGACUGACGUUGAGGCUCGAAAGCGUGGGGAGCAAACAGGAUUAGAUACCCUGGUAGC
rnacentral:rRNA from 1 species